rnacentral:lncRNA from 1 species
GGAAAGGCAACUCAUUGCGGUCCAGGCUUCAGGGAAGACUCGCAGAGACAUACUGCGUCUUUAGGUGUAAUGGUCGUGAGGCAGCAGGGAUACUUGGUCCUGUGGUCUGGGGAAGAUGCUGGGAUGGAAUUGAUGCUGAAUCUUUUGGAAGGAGUCCUGUCAGGUACGUGGGUUUGCAGGAAUUAUUCGGAAGCAGAGGGACACCAAGAAUACAUGAGAUGGCUCUUUGAUUGCCUCAGUUCCCAAGGCUAUCAAAUGACAGCUCUGAACUCAAGGAUCACUAAGAAAUGGCACUUUGGAGUAAGAACUAUCACAAAGGCAUUUGAGGGCAUCCAGGAAGCCCUCUGCUGUGUGUGUCAAUAGACACAAUGAUAGAACUUCAAGUUUUAAAAAAGGGAGAGAAAACAGCGGACCUAGAUGUCUAUGAGGGACCAGAUAAUAAGGGGCAGGAAAUAAGUGCCCUGUGUUCGAUUAUACCACACAGCAGGGACAGAAGCCCUUUUCAAGAUGAUAAGCGACUUUUUAUUUCCCUGAAGCCUUGAGCUUAACAAGGUGGUGUGAGCUAUGGGAGUGAGGGAAGGAAUCAACACAGAGUUCUUGGUAAAGGCAACUCGGGCUGAAGGUUGGGGUGGUAACAGGGAAGACGGCAUGCUGAGAAUGAAGUCUUCGGGCAAGUGGAUGUGAGUUGGGGUGCGGAUUUCAUAGCUGUUCUUUUUUCUCUCUUUCUCCAUUUCUUCAUUGAGAUUACUCCCUCAGUAUCAGAAAUAAAGUCAUCACUCCAU